GGCUCACUUCAAGAGCAGGUGAAGCAAGUUGGGACAAUGUUGAAGACAUUUCCUCGCACUGGGCAAUCGGGUGCAGAUCAAACCCUAAUGCUGCGACGUCUUGGAAUUUGGCGAUGUUGUGCGUAGCAUGGACAACAAAAUGCUAUGCUGCAACAUUUCAGUGCCAAUGUGUCUGUUGGAGAGUUAUCCCUGCCAGGGGAUCUGUUACUCCCCCCUAGACACCCAGGAAGAUUUGGCGUUGCUUGACAACAGUUUGAGGCAGGAUAAAGAGCUCCAGUAACAAUUUCUUCGGUUUUUGGCAAUCAAAUGUGGGAGGGACCUAAAGACAACCGUGUGGCGAAUGCUUCAGAGUAUCUUCUCUAAUCACCUUUCCAUCAAUACAACCUGGACUGGUGUAGGGGAUAAAGCAUGUUUUAGAGACAUG